CUGGGCUUAUCAGUCCAUUCAAAAGUCAGGCAAUAAAGCUUCCUGAAGGGUUUUAUCUAAGCCAAUCAGCAUCAAGUAAACAUUCAUCUGUGUAGGAAAUUCAAAUGUAUGGAGAAGAAUCAUGUAAACAUAUGGCGGUUUCUGAAGCUCAUAUUUUAUAUGUGGAUAAACCUUUUUCCUUAUCAUUUGAAAGAUGACCAAUAUUGUGUCUGUGACAAAGAUGAGGAUCCUGUGACCAACAAGAUUUGAUGGGAAAGUUGGAAAGCUAAAAAACAUGCUAAAAAUGAUUACGUUCCCAGAUAGUGCAGAAAGAAUGAAGCAGAAUCACCAACAGCAGCAGAACUAAAUCGGGCGAUAACGGAACAAGGUUCAUUCUGUCAAAAACAUAUUAAACACAGAAUAUGAACUCUUAAAACAAUAAGUGAUAGUAAAAAUGUGUAAAAAAAUAACAUUUUCA